rnacentral:rRNA from 1 species
ACGAACGCUGGCGGCGUGCCUAAUACAUGCAAGUCGAACGGCUUUUCUAUGGAAGCUUGCUUCCACUGAGAAGAUAGUGGCGAACGGGUGAGUAACACGUGGGUAACCUGCCCAUAAGAGGGGGAUAACAUCCGGAAACGGGUGCUAAUACCGCAUAGUUUUCUUGAUCGCAUGAUUGAGAAAGGAAAGACGGCCUUUGUGCUGUCGCUUAUGGAUGGACCCGCGGCGUAUUAGUUAGUUGGUGAGGUAACGGCUCACCAAGACGAUGAUACGUAGCCGACCUGAGAGGGUGAUCGGCCACAUUGGGACUGAGACACGGCCCAAACUCCUACGGGAGGCAGCAGUAGGGAAUCUUCCGCAAUGGACGAAAGUCUGACGGAGCAACGCCGCGUGAGUGAAGAAAGGUUUUCGGAUCGUAAAACUCUGUUGUCAGAGAAGAACAAGUUGGAGAGUAACUGCUCCAGCCUUGACGGUAUCUGACCAGAAAGCCACGGCUAACUACGUGCCAGCCGCAGC